rnacentral:lncRNA from 1 species
AUUCAAUCUCCUUGUGCCUUGAUUUCCUUAUCAAUAAGUGAUUUGUUUUUAAAGAAGGAUUCACAAGCAAACAUAUCUGGUUUUUUUGUUUGUUUGUUUUUGAGACAGAGUCUCGCUCUGUUGUCCAGGCUGGAGUGCAGUGAUGCGAUCUUGACUCACUGCAACCUCCGCCUCCCAGGAGUUCAAGCGAUCCUCCUGCCUCAGUCUUCCGAGUAGCUGGGACUACAGGCAUGUGCCACCACACCCAGCUACUAUUUUUGUAUUUUUUUGUAGAGAUGGUUUCGCCAUGUUGGCCAGGCUGGUCUUGAACCCUUGACCUCAGGUGAUCCACCAGCCUCGGCCUCACAAAGUGCUGGGAUUACAGGUAUGAGCCACCACGCCCAGCCUGCAAACAUAUGUUGAACUCUUUGCACAGUGCCCUGCAUGAGAUAGAUGACAGCUCCUUCUUCCAUGUUGUUAAUUUGGUGUGAGUAUAUGUUAUAUGUAUGUAUAUGCAAGAUAAUAAUCUUCUUGUAACCACUGACAGGCCUUUUUGUGAAUGAUGAUGGAAAAAGCAAGAACCUUGUCCAGGUUCCUCUCCAGGGAGCAGGGGUGGGUUGUGAUUCUUGAUUUCAUUCCUUUAGAUAUGAAGAGUUUUCACACAGAGGCAGCACGAAUUUGUCUCUCUCCUAGAGGGUGGGGAGAGUUGCUGGGUGGAUAUAACUGCAUCACAGCCUUUCUGGGUAAACUGGCCACUCCCUACUGAUUUGUUAUCAUGCUAAAUGUGUCUCCUCCCUUCCUUUCUGGAGCUUUUGCAGCUGUUCCUGGAAGGAGACCCAGUUGAAAGGGGUUGUUAUGGACCAGGAACAGCUGGGAUCUUUAAUGAUCUGUGAGCAGCUUACAGCAAAGUUCCAACACCCUGAGUAUCAGUCCCCAAAUCCUUGGUCUUUGCAUUCCAACACAAAGUAAAAAGGAUUGAGCAGGGUUUUGGUUUUGGUUGCAAGUAACAGAAACCCAACGCUAAUUAAUAAACGGGAAAGUGUGUCAGUGGAAAUGUAAGUAAGAAGAGAUUUCAUUUACUGGCCAAUUCAAAAGAUGACAAGCUUUAGGCGUGGCUCAGUCCAGUGGCUCAUGAUGUCUUCAGGACUCAGUGUUUCUCUGUUGUCAUCUCUUAGUUCUAUUAUUUUUUCUGUGUUGGUUCAUUAUGAGGUUUCCUUUAGAGGGUGGCAGAGAAAGCCACUAGUUGCUUCAAGUCUUUAUUUUACCAGCUCCACAAGUCCGACGGAAAGAGAAAACUGCUUUCCCAAAGGGUGUAAGAGGAUGAAAGGCAUGUCAUCAGCUGAAUUGCAUCAGGUGUCCAUCUUGGAAUCAAUCACGGUGCCUCUUAUUAGCAAAGCCUGAGUCAUAGCCAGCAAGAAAACAGGGACCUUAAUCUUACGACCACAAGGAACUGGACUCUGCUACCAGAAUGAGCUGCAAGGGAGAUUCUUCCUCAGAAGCUUCAGAUAAGAACUCCACCUGGCUGACCUUUGAUUUUGGUUUUGUGAGAACUUUGGCAGAUAACCCAGGCAUGUGUCAUUUCACAUCUGCAUAAAAAGACAUGCUGAAGGAUGUUCCUUGCAGAAUGGUUAUAGAGAAAAAUGGGAAUAACCACGAUAUAAAGUAACAGGGAAAUGGAUGAAGCUGGAAACCAUCAAUCUCAGCAAAGUAACACAGGAACAGAAAACCAAAUACUGCAUGUUCUCACUCAUAAGUGGGAGUUGAACAAUGAGGACACAUGGACACAGGGAGGGGAACAUCACACACUGGGGCCUGUAAGGGGGUGGGAGGCUAGGGGAGGGAUUGCAUUAGCAGAGAUACCUAAUGUAAAUGACGGGUUGAUAGGUGCAGGAAACCACCAUGGC